UUGAUCCUGGCUCGGAUGAACGCUAGCUACAGGCUUAACACAUGCAAGUCGAGGGGCAGCAUGGUCUUAGCUUGCUAAGGCCGAUGGCGACCGGCGCACGGGUGAGUAACACGUAUCCAACCUGCCGUCUACUCUUGGACAGCCUUCUGAAAGGAAGAUUAAUACAAGAUGGCAUCAUGAGUCCGCAUGUUCACAUGAUUAAAGGUAUUCCGGUAGACGAUGGGGAUGCGUUCCAUUAGAUAGUAGGCGGGGUAACGGCCCACCUAGUCUUCGAUGGAUAGGGGUUCUGAGAGGAAGGUCCCCCACAUUGGAACUGAGACACGGUCCAAACUCCUACGGGAGGCAGCAGUGAGGAAUAUUGGUCAAUGGGCGAGAGCCUGAACCAGCCAAGUAGCGUGAAGGAUGACUGCCCUAUGGGUUGUAAACUUCUUUUAUAAAGGAAUAAAGUCGGGUAUGGAUACCCGUUUGCAUGUACUUUAUGAAUAAGGAUCGGCUAACUCCGUGCCAGCAGCCGCGGUAAUACGGAGGAUCCGAGCGUUAUCCGGAUUUAUUGGGUUUAAAGGGAGCGUAGAUGGAUGUUUAAGUCAGUUGUGAAAGUUUGCGGCUCAACCGUAAAAUUGCAGUUGAUACUGGAUAUCUUGAGUGCAGUUGAGGCAGGCGGAAUUCGUGGUGUAGCGGUGAAAUGCUUAGAUAUCACGAAGAACUCCGAUUGCGAAGGCAGCCUGCUAAGCUGCAACUGACAUUGAGGCUCGAAAGUGUGGGUAUCAAACAGGAUUAGAUACCCUGGUAGUCCACACGGUAAACGAUGAAUACUCGCUGUUUGCGAUAUACAGCAAGCGGCCAAGCGAAAGCGUUAAGUAUUCCACCUGGGGAGUACGCCGGCAACGG
rnacentral:rRNA from 1 species